CUACCACCCGAUCAAGAACCAAAAUUAAAGCCGCUGAUCCCACCAAUUCCCGGCCCGUUUUGAAACUCAAACUCUCCACCAAGCACUUAAAACCCAUCACAGAACCGGACCCAAAACCUCCCAUAAUAGAUUCAUUUCGAAGCCAUCCCCAGAUCCCUCCACCAAACUUCUCCAAUUUACCUUUUCAAAUCCAUACUUCAACACACCACCAAAAUUACCAUAAUGCCUCUGAUACUCUUUUACCCGGCAGCCAUUGCUUGUCGAAAUUCGCAUCUUUUUCCAAUAAAGGCCAGAAUAAAAAUCUCAUUUUUGAGCCCAGUGAAAAGGAUUUUCCAACUGAAACUAAAAGUGAAAUUCAUGUGCAAAAUGCUGACCUGGUAAAAGUGAAAAAUGAAGCUGCUAGCCAACGAAUUUCUUCCAAAAAGGUGAGUAAACAUCUUAAUUUGAUUGGUGUUAAUGUUUCUUCCACAAAGAAUGUGAACAAGCCUAAACGUGUUAGUGAGGGUAAUUUUGUGAAGCUUAAUAUAAAUGGCUAUGGGAGGAAAAAGUUUGCCUUUAAGAAUAAAAGAAAGAGCUUUAGUGCAUAUAGUGGGCGUAGAAAAUUUUCAAGAUAUUAUAAAAAGAAAUCGAGAGUUGGAAAUGAAGGAAAGGAAAGUGGUGAGAUUCUCGAUGAAGAGGGCUUGGUUUUGGAGAUUGGAGAGAGAGAGGAAAGUAUGGAUUUUGAUAGUGAAUCGAUUGAGGAGGCUGUGAUGAGUGUACGAAAAGAGGCCUCCGAUGGAAAUUUGGAGAAGUUAUUAAAGUUCACACAUGGGUAUGAUUCAUUUAGGAAUGGUCAGUUGGAGGCAAUCAAGAUGGUGCUCUCUGGGAAAUCGACAAUGCUGGUUUUACCAACGGGUUCUGGCAAGUCUCUGUGUUAUCAGUUGCCUGCGUUGAUUUUGCCAGGAGUCACCCUUGUGGUGAGUCCUUUAGUGGCUUUGAUGAUCGAUCAACUUAAACAGCUGCCUCCUGCAAUUCCGGGUGGCCUUUUGUGUAGCAGCCAGGUAUUUUCUUUCUCAGUGUUGGUGAAUACGUAUGCAUUUUUGUCCCUCUGUGACUAUUUCUAUAAACUUGAUGUUUCUUGAUGGCUGUUUCAGAUGCCCGAGGAGGCUGCAAAAACCCUCAGGUCACUACAAGAAGGGGCAAUAAAGGUUAACUUAAGUCCUUGAUUGCAACAUAAACUUCAACCAAACGGUCUUUUUCUUGUUUAUGUAAAUGCAUCAAAAACAAUUGGUUCUGAUUAAGACCAUUUCACACCAUUAUGGAUCUUUCUGAAAUUUCAUUGAAAUCACUUUUGAUGGAUUAUUUGUUGAAAUGUGAUAAGCACUCACUCUAUCCUUUAGAUAUGUACCUAAACACUAAGAAAUUUUCUCGGUUCAUGUUUAGGUUCUUUUUGUUUCACCAGAGAGGUUUCUGAAUGCAGAAUUCCUAUCCAUAUUUUCUGGCAGUCAACUAGUAUCUCUUGUGGUUGUUGAUGAAGCCCACUGUGUUUCUGAAUGGUGAGCAUUUGUAGGAUUAUUUCCUUCCCAGUUUUAUCAGCUUGUGAAUUGGAUUUUAAGAGUCUCCUUCAUUAUGACAGCAAUAUGCCAGCCAAACUCAUUAUCACCAUAUGAAGUUUCAUAAUUUUCUGAAACCUAAAAUUUUUGACAGGUCACAUAAUUUUCGACCUUCGUAUAUGAGGCUUAGAGCCUCCUUGCUAUGUGGGAAGCUUAAUGCUGGAUGUAUUCUAGCUAUGACAGCAACUGCAACAACCAAAACUUUGCAUGACGUAAUGCAUGCUUUAGAGAUUACUCCCACAAAUCUCAUUCAGUCAGCCCAAUUAAGGGAUAAUCUGCAUUUAUCGGUGUCUGUGAGCGGGAAUAGGUGAGUGUACACACACACACACACCUUGUCAAUUUUCUUGUAUUAAAUUUUAAUACCUCAAUAUUCUGUUAAUAAUGUCAGGAUGAAAGAUUUGGUGGCAUUGCUCAAGUCUUCUCCCUUUUUGGAGAUCAAAAGCCUCAUUAUUUACUGUAAAUUUCAGGUAUACUACGGUUAAUUUUUCUAAAAAAGAUGAAUAUAUAAACUUGGACCAGAUCACUAUCUCUUUACUCUUGUGAUUUUGACUUAUGGUAACCUUGUGUCCACAAUUUGGUGCAGUAUGAAACUGACAUGAUAAGCAAAUAUCUAUGUGAUAACAACAUCUCAGCUAAGGUUUGUAUAGCAUUUGUAAUCUCAGUUUAUUUGAAUGAUGCAAACUUUAUGCUCUCUUCAUGCAGUUCUUUGUUUUCAUAUUGGAAAUAUUGAUGAAGUUCUGUAUGUUUCUCAGAGUUACCACAGUGCCAUUCCUGCUAAAGAUAGGAACCGCGUUCAGGAAUUGUUUUGUUCUAAUAGGAUAAGAGUGGUAAGGAAGUUAUUGGGAUCAUUUUUUAUAUAUUUCUAUAAUUUUAUAGGUGUGAUUAUCUCCUUGAUGCAUGGUGGAAAUUAAAAUCUUGCUGAUUUGCAUUCUUUUGUUCUCAAAGGUGGUUGCAACUGUGGCAUUUGGCAUGGGACUUGACAAAAGUGAUGUUGGAGCUGUAAGAAAAAUUUUCGUUCACGUUUCAUAUUAUUUAUCUAAUUUUCAUUAAACAUCCACAAUUAAUUGGUCUUAAAAUAUCUCAGAGGAUAACAAUAACAUUUAAUUUGCAUUUUGCACCUAAGAAAUCACCCGGAAGGAAUCUAUCCACGAAUCUUCUAAGCCAUCUGAGUUUAUGUAUUUGUCUUCCUUGUGGCAUUUAUGGACUGCUAAAGCUCUAAAAUGCUGCUGUUUCAGGUAAUCCACUACAGUUUACCCGAAAGUUUGGAAGAGUAUGUACAGGUCAAAUUUCUUUAUUAUAAUUUUCUCCCAAUUAUUAGCACAGGUGUGUCCUUCCCCUCCCCAACCACAAAAAAAUAAAACAUAAAUAAAACAUAAAAUAAAAUUGUAGACCUAAAAAUAUUAAAUAAUUUAUGCAGGAGAUAGGUCGUGCUGGACGUGAUGGUAGAUUUUCUUAUUGCCAUCUGCUUUUUGAUGAUGUCACAUACUUCAAGCUUCGAAGUUUGAUGUACAGGUAAAGCAAAUGCCAUUUCUAUGUAGCCUCCCAUUUGUGGGAUUGGAGAUACAGAUUUUGGUGAUAACAUUAUUUUUUCAGUGAUGGCGUAGAUGCACAUGCAGUAAAUUUGUUACUUUCUCAUGUUUUUAUGAGCAAAGGAAGUGCAGCCAAUGAUACUUGUUCGUUAGUCAAAGAAACUGCUUCUCGUAAAUUUGAUAUGAAAGAAGAGGUCGGUCAAGUUGCUGCUUUUGAAUAAAGUUUGCUUACAAGCCCUCAUCUUCCUGUCAAAAAAAUUCAACUUUGAUUAUCAACCUAAGUAGUUUGUUAUUCAGUUUGUAUAUUAUUCAAUCAUAAAUGAAUUUAUUAUAUCGAGAUAUUUUUGCCUCAUGAUGUUGAACUACUGAUUUUUCUUGCCUUGUAGGUGAUGCUAACUAUUUUGACACAGUUGGAGUUGGGAGAAGUGCAAUACCUUCAAUUGCUUCCCCAGAUAAAUGUAACAUGUACUGUAAAUUUCCAUAAGGUGCGUUAUGCUUUCUAUGGGGGAUAAAUUUCUAUUCUCUGGAUGUUUAGUUUAUGCCGUCGUUCUUUGUUGAACUACUUGAUCUAAAGUUUAAAUUAUUAGAUCUUUAAAAUGCCUCUUCACGUGUAGACGGGGUUCAUUUUUUCCCGUCAAAGCCUAUCACGUGCAUAAUUCAUUUAAAUGAGUGACGGUGCAAUUUGAACCUAGGACAUUUGCAUGCUCUGAUACCAUGUUAAAUCACUUGAUCUAAAAACUUAAAUUAUUAGAUAGGGCCACAUGUAUAAUUAUUUAUCUUUCUGCAGACUCCGCCAGCACUUUUUGCUGCUAAAGAUAUUGUGGUUGCAUCAAUUCUGAACAAGUGAGAAAUAUUUUUUAUUCCAUACUACCAUGAACUAUGAAGUUAUUUGUUCUUAAAACUCUUAAUUGCUCUGCUAAUGCUUUACAAGCUUUUCAGGUCUGAAAUGAAAGAUGGGCAAUAUGUAUUUGACAUACCAUCUGUGGCAAAUAGCAUCAGAAUGCAGGCUGUUGACCUUACAAAUCACUUGCAGAGUCUAAAGGUGAGUAUGUUUUGACUUGUCCAAGCUUUUCAAAUUCCAAUUUGGAAUGAGAUUUUAAGAGAUUUCAGUUCUUUCAAACUCAUUUCUACAAGCCACUUGUUGAACUAUCUAUUCAUAUAGAGCUCUAUGGAGUUAUUGCUCUUCCCUUUAAUCCACUUGAAGUCUAAGGUCAAGUUUUUAUCCUCGUUCAAGCUUUGAUUGAAGAGGUCGAACUUGUAUGUUAGGAGGUUUGACAGAUCACGUUUAGCUAAGCUUAAAAUGUUUGCUUAUAAGCAAAAUAAGUAAGUCUUCAAAUAUUUAAUUUCUUAUUGGAUAAAGUUAGAUAAGUUACUUUUGACAGUAAGAUUAAGGUACUUUUAUGAUAAGUGACUUUUUUACCCAAAUGUAAGAUAAUAAAUUAUCGAAGCAAAAAGUUACUUGUGUUUUUUGUUGUAUUAAGGACCAUAAGAUUAUCUCUUCCAAAUUUUACUGUCUUUAGAACAUGAUUUAUACCUUACUCUGUCAAUUUCCAAAAAUUCAAGCUUCUAAUCAUUUUUCUCUGACAAUGGCGGAAUAUGAUUUAAAAUUGAAAUGCUGCUUCAAUAUUUUACACUUUAUAGUUGAAGUACUAUGAAAAUUAUGGUAACAUAAUAUUUGGCAUGGUCCUAAUCACUUAAUUGUAUUAUACUCGUUGAAAUAAUUGGGAAAAGAACCUUGUUGUAUUCUCCGAUUGAUUAGAAUUUACUAACUCACAGAAUUUUCUGUAUUGCUUGUAUUAGUUGAAGGGGGAAAUCACAUAUGAUUUGAAGGAUCCAGCCUAUUGUUAUACCAUUAUUAAUGUCCCGGAAGAUAUUUGUUCUUUGGCAGCAAGCCUUACAAAGUGGUUAUCUGAGGUCGAGACCUGUAAGGUGAUUGGCUUUCCUUUAUGUCAUUUAUUAUUUUUGUAGUUUAUUCUCUAUUUGUGUGGGGAAGAGGGGGACAUUCAUAGUGCAAGUUUGGCAAAGCUUAUAUUAUAAUUUAAACUUGUCAAACAUACUUUUUAUCCAACUUAUUAUCCAGCAUUCAAUGGGGCCCGCUGUUUAAAACAAGCACGUGAUAACAUGCAUACUGACUUUGAUUGACGUAGGUGCGGAAGAUAGAUGCAAUGUUUAAUGCUGCUGUUUUUGCUGCAAAAGAGUGUGAUAAAGUGCAGAGCUGCCAAGAAAAUCAACAUACUUCUUGCUUGCAAAGGAAGAUUCAACAGUACUUUAAUGGGGAUGAUGACGUUGAUGUUCCUAACCAGAUGGGUCAAAACAGGUUGAAAUGUUUGAUCUAUAAAUACACAAUUCACAGUGAACUUAUUGUUGGAGCUCGUUUGCUUGGGCUUCAAAACAAAUAAGAACUACUCAAGUUUCCAAACAAGUGUAUCCAAAGUUACUUAUUUUGACAGUAACUCCUGAUUAAAAUAAGUAGCUUGCCAUUUUUUUUUCUUUACAGUUUUUCUAGAACUUACAAGUGAACUGUAUAAGCUUAGCCAAACAUGCUCCAACAAGGCAACUACAGCAAAAAGCUAAGCUUUCAUUGCAUAAUAUAUAGCUGGGAUCUAUUGCUGAGCUCUGUUGUUUCAUUGAGCAUCAAUCAUGAAGAACCCAAAAAUAACUUAUAGUCUAGCAGAUAUUGAUAUGAAAAUAUCUAUGUAUAUAUGUUGCAAUAAAUAUUAUGAUCUUUCUAGAUAUUAUUUGAUUGUCCUAACUAAAACAUCAUUUUGUUUGCAGUCCAUUUUUGCGGGCUGAUAUAAAGGUACAAAUUUUCAAACGUUACAACUUGUUUCUUGCUAAAAAGAAAUUAACCAAAAUUGUAAAAUUUCCAUCCUCUUUUGAUGCCUUAGGUCUUUCUUCAGAGUAAUUCACAAGUGAAAUUUACCCCCCGAGCAAUUGCAAGGAUACUGCAUGGACUUGCUAGCCCGGCCUUUCCUGCUGCUAUUUGGUCAAGAACCCAUUUUUGGUAAUGUGGCAACAAAAUUAAUAUAUGGUUUGAUCAAUGGUUCUUAAUUUUAUCAUUUUAAGUAUAACCUAGAUUUGCAUUUAACUUGAAAAACGUGAUGCAGUGAUAUUAUCUUUGCAUGAAAUAGAGGGUUUAAAUGAUUCUUUAAAAUCGAGAAAUGUUGUAAAAUAUGAGACAUUUUUCAAGAAUCCACUCGUAUGGUUGACUGCUCUGUAUAUGGUAUCUCUCUCAGAGGUCGACACUGAUGCAUGUAUUGUAGGGAUCAUUGGAUCAUAGAUUAAAAAAUAAGCUGAAAUUGUGUGGAUUAUACUGUCUUUUCAUUUAUAUGAUCUCAAAUUUCCUGGCUGGAUUUUAGGGGAAGGUAUCAACAGAUAGACUUUAAAGUAGUGAUGGAAGCGGCAAAGGGAGAGCUCAUUAGUAUGGUCGGCAAGGAUGUAAUUUAGCUAUUUCUUUCUCGAGAGAAUGUCAUUUAUAACAACAAAUAGGGAGAACACAAUAUUGCGCGGUUACAGUUGGCUAAUCUUAGUAAGUCUUCCUACUUCGUCAUCUGUUUUUGUUUGGAAAUUUAAUGCAAAUGUUCGUUCCUUUCUCUUCCCUUUUCUUUCCAGUGCACGCAAUGCUGCCUGUGGGACUUCCGGUGCUAAAGUUUUGACAGGUAUAAUGCAAUAGUUGUAUUGAAUGUACAUAAUGAUUUAUAUGCACAUAAUGUAGUGAGAUAUGAUUCGAUUUUUUCAAUCAGAUAAUUUUUCCUCUAUUUUUGAAACCUCGUUUUUCUGUAAACAAUUAUGUAACUCUUAUGUACAACUAGCAUUAUCCAUAAUACAAUUGGGGAUGAGAUAGGCUACUUACAUGUCAAUACCUUGACAUGUGUAUGCUUAGAUUGUGCAAAUAUUCCUACUGUAUAAGUUUAUAAAAAGAUUUGUGUGUCAGAGAUGGUGGACAUUUGAAUCUUAUUUUAUAUCAUUGUCAAAACAUGCAGUGACAAAAGUAUGCGGAUCUCAUAUGUGAAUCAAUAUAAAUGUAUGUAUUUUUGGUUCUUAUACAUUCGAUUGAUUAUUGUAGUUAUAAGAAGAUGUUACGGCUUAACCUAUAAUAUCUACUUGCAGGUGAAAGUCGAAAGAUUGAUCAACUCACAGCGAAGAAAAGAAUAUCCAUAGAGAAGCUUGUCAUUGCUAAUAUUAUAAUAAACAUAUAUUUUCAUAUGUUGUAAAUCUCACGGUUAUGUAAAAUUAUUGAUGAUUUUUUCAUUAAGUGUUAUCUUUCUUUUGAACUUUUACCAUGAUAAGGAAUAAGUCUUAAUUUGUUAUUUGUGUAGAUCAUUGAAGACAAUGAAUUUUGCUUGAAC
rnacentral:lncRNA from 1 species